UAGGAGGAGUCUGCUAGGGAGUGCCCUGCCUGGAAGGGCAAAGGGCUCUGUCUGCUAGCCUCAACCAACUGACAAGAGUCUCAGUCACCAGGCCUUGACUCUCUAAGAACAUAGAAAGUCCUAGGUCACUGCUUCCUCAUCCAUCACCCUCUAACAGAACCCAGAACCCCAUGCGGCAGGAGCACUGGGGGACACCCGGGUGGAGCCUUCCCUGGAGCAAGUACUGCAGGAGAGGGAUGAAGCCAUUGCUAAGAAGCGAGCGGUGGAAGAGGAGCUGGAUUCCUGUCGAGCCAGGUUGCGCACAGUGGAGGCUCAGCUGCUGGAGGUCCUGCAGGAGAAACUGAGGCUGAAACAGGAGGUGGAGGCCUGGGAGGAAGACAUGCAGCAGAUGGUUCGAGAGCGGGUGCAGAGUCAGCUGCAGGAAGAGUCCAGAGGCACGCUGGGCGCACGCGAGAACUCAAGCACGAGCAGGAGUUCCUGGAUCCAACUCUCCCAGAGUCAGUGGGGACGACGGUGGUGACAAUGGAUCCCGGGUGUUUAAGGGAACUGUCUUUAUUCAUUAAAGUGUUAGACCACCUCUGUA